rnacentral:rRNA from 1 species
GACGAACGCUGGCGGCGUGCUUAACACAUGCAAGUCGAACGGAAAGGCCUGCUUUCCCUUGUGGAUUGCGGGUACUCGAGUGGCGAACGGGUGAGUAACACGUGAGUGAUCUGCCCCCAACUUGGGUAUAAGCCUGGGAAACUGGGUCUAAUUCCCGAUAGGACUGCAGGGUGGUGCCUGUGGUGGAAAACGAUUUUCUAGUGGUUGGGGAUGAGCUCGCGGCCUAUCAGCUUGUUGGUGGGGUAAUGGCCUACCAAGGCGGCGACGGGUAGCCGGACUGAGAGGGUGGACGGCCCCAUUGGGACUGAGAUACGGCCCAGACUCCUACGGGAGGCAGCAGUGGGGAAUAUUGCACAAUGGGAGGAAGCCUGAUGCAGCGACGCCGCGUGGGGGAUGACGGCCUUCGGGUUGUAAACUCCUUUCGACCGCGAGGAAGCCACCUGGUUGGAAGGGUGGUGACGGUAGUGGUAGAAGAAGCACCGGCUAACUACGUG